AUACAGAGGGUGCAAGCGUUAAUCGGAAUUACUGGGCGUAAAGCGUACGUAGGCGGUUGGUUAAGUUAGAUGUGAAAGCCCCGGGCUUAACCUGGGAACUGCAUUUAAAACUGGCGAACUAGAGUUGAGUAGAGGGGAGUGGAAUUUCAGGUGUAGCGGUGAAAUGCGUAGAGAUCUGAAGGAACACCAGUGGCGAAGGCGACUCCCUGGACUCGAACUGACGCUGAGGUACGAAAGCGUGGGUAGCAAACGGGAUUAGAUACCCCAGUAGUCC
rnacentral:rRNA from 1 species